rnacentral:rRNA from 1 species
AGCGGCGGAUGGGUGAGUAACACGUGGGGAACCUGCCCCUAAGUCUGGGAUACCAUUUGGAAACAGGUGCUAAUACCGGAUAAUAAAGCAGAUCGCAUGAUCAGCUUUUGAAAGGCGGCGUAAGCUGUCGCUAAGGGAUGGCCCCGCGGUGCAUUAGCUAGUUGGUAAGGUAACGGCUUACCAAGGCGACGAUGCAUAGCCGAGUUGAGAGACUGAUCGGCCACAUUGGGACUGAGACACGGCCCAAACUCCUACGGGAGGCAGCAGUAGGGAAUCUUCCACAAUGGACGCAAGUCUGAUGGAGCAACGCCGCGUGAGUGAAGAAGGUUUUCGGAUCGUAAAGCUCUGUUGUUGGUGAAGAAGGAUAGAGGUAGUAACUGGCCUUUAUUUGACGGUAAUCAACCAGAAAGUCACGGCUAACUACGUGCCAGCAGCCGCGGUAAUACGUAGGUGGCAAGCGUUGUCCGGAUUUAUUGGGCGUAAAGCGAGCGCAGGCGGAAAAAUAAGUCUAAUGUGAAAGCCCUCGGCUUAACCGAGGAACUGCAUCGCAAACUGUUUUUCUUGAGUGCAGAAGAGGAGAGUGGAACUCCAUGUGUAGCGGUGGAAUGCGUAGAUAUAUGGAAGAACACCAGUGGCGAAAGGCGGCUCUCUGGUCUGCAACUGACGCUGAGGCUCGAAAGCAUGGGUAGCGAACAGGAUUAGAUACCCUGGUAGUCCAUGCCGUAAACGAUGGGUGCUAAGUGU